CCGAGUUCAAGUGAACAUUUAAGAUGAAGCUGCUAUAUUUAUUGUUCGUGGUAUUAGCGGCUCUAAGUACCAUUGCCCUGGCUAAACCAGUCGUGCCUUUCAAACCGGCGGAGUGUCCUCCAGGAUAUAAGUUGGGUUCUAAUGGAAUAUGCAAGAAAACGUUUUAAUAGGUAGCAGAAAUGGGAGAAGAAAGUGCCUAGAUAUCAGCACAAACAUGGACGCAUAAUUCUUCUUACACAACGAUUUUGAAUGUAUCUCUUAGAACAAUAACGUUGAAGAAUUACAGCAAGCUUUAAUAUGCAAAUCAACAUUAAAAUUAUGUGGUAUCACAUAUUUUUUGGU